GAUGAAGAACGUAGCGAAAUGCGAUAAGUAAUGUGAAUUGCAGAAUUCAGUGAAUCAUCGAGUCUUUGAACGCACAUUGCGCCCCCUGGUAUUCCGGGGGGCAUGCCUGUCCGAGCGUCAUUGCUGCCCUCAAGCACGGCUUGUGUGUUGGGCCGUCGUCCCCCUCCUAGGGGACGGGCCCGAAAGGCAGCGGCGGCACCGCGUCCGGUCCUCGAGCGUAUGGGGCUUCGUCACCCGCUACGUAGGCCCGGCCGGCGCUUGCCGACGACCAUCAAUCUCUUUCUCCAGGUUGACCUCGGAUCAGGUAGGGAUACCCGCUGAACUUAAGCAUAUCAAUAAGCGGAGGA
rnacentral:misc_RNA from 1 species